CUUAAGAGGCUACAUAUUAAGACGAUCGAUAAUGGUUUAACCAAAGUCAAAAGAUAAACACAAAAGAAUAAAUAACUUUAUUGUCGACAUCGAACUACGUAUCGUUUACUUUAUAUUUAAUCGUGACCUUUCCAACACUUUAUUUAAUAUUAGUUAAUUAAGGAUGACUUUGUCAUGAUGAUUCGGUCAAAUAACAAUGCGUCUAGUCGUGCUGUUUCGUGCAUUUUGAACGAACGUGACAUACGUCAUUGUGACGCAAUAUAUUGCAUUUUUGAAAUUUAUAAAGAUUAUUGCGAUUUGCUCGUCAAUGAUGGAUCAUGGACGAUCUCGAAACGAGAGAUCAUCAGUAUAAUAACUACGAGUGAAGAUGACCGAAGAACGAAGAGAUAAAUCGUCUCUCACGGAAAUCCUUAGCGAAUAAAUCGAAGUGGAAAGAAGGAGGAAAAGAGAUAGGGAAGAGAAGAGUCGUCCCACUUUCAAGCUUUACGAGGACUUUGCAUUCUCGCGAGAAAUGCGUGCAUAUCGCAUGGAUCUUGAAGAGCCUUAGAUGUAACUCAAAGGGUGGGAAAAAUCUACGACGCUAUCAAUUGCAAGCUAUACGAAAAGGUAAACGAGUACGUAGUAAAGGAUCAAAGAUGAGAAGAAAGAAAGAAAGAAAGAAAGAAAGAAAGAAAAAGAGAGAGAGAGAGAAAGAGAGAGAGAGAGAGUCGAGAAAUAAAACUAAAAAAGGAAAAAUCUGAAUAGUCCUGAAUGAAAGGGGAGAGGAGGUGGGGGAGGGGGAAGGAAAAGGAUCUUCGUAAAAUAUUGAGGAAAAACGAGGUACCGUAUGUAAUAUAAAUGAGGGUAAGAGAGAGAGAGAAAAAAAAAGAAAAAAGAAAAAGAAAAAAAGGGAGAACAGUCAAAGGAACCAGCUUCGUAAAGAAGAUAAAGAAAACAAGUUGUCUACAUGGAAAUCAGCCUUCUCACUAGCGAACGAACGCUAGCUCACAGAUAUCUUUCCCAGCUAGUUCGAGAACGAUAACGCCUUUAUUUCUCGUACAUUUUCCCAAGAAGCUAAGAAAUUGCUUCGCUUUAUUGCCUAUGAUCCGGUCGAACCUGAGAAAUGUUAUUUAUGCUACUGCCAAGGAAGAUCUCGUUUUGUUCGGAAUAUAUGUAUGCAGCUCAUGAUCGAUUAACUUAAACACAUAGAGGCCUCUUAAGCCAAAUGUGUGUAUAUAUAAGUUGUCGGAAAGAUUAGCUGGAGUUAUUAAUAAAAAAUAUUAAUAUGAAAAAAUGUGAAAAAUGAAGUCAAGAAAAAACAUAUAUACAUAUAUAUAUAUAUAUAUAUAUAUGUCAUUUUGAUUUUCCUUCAAUUUACUCCCUAAAUAUUUGAUUUUUAACUAAAAACGAAAUAAUAAUAAAUGGCCUAAUGUUUCCUUUUU